UACGUAGGGGGCAAGCGUUGUCCGGAUUCAUUGGGCGUAAAGAGCGUGUAGGCGGCCAGGUAGGUCGGUUGUGAAAACUCGAGGCUCAACCUCGAGACGUCGGCGGAAACCAUCUGGCUAGAGUCCGGAAGAGGAGAGUGGAAUUCCUGGUGUAGCGGUGAAAUGCGCAGAUAUCAGGAGGAACACCAAUUGCGAAGGCAGCUCGCUGGGACGUUACUGACGCUGAGACGCGAAAGCGUGGGGAGCAAACAGG
rnacentral:rRNA from 1 species